GACGAGGUGGCCGAGUGGUUAUGGCGAUGGACUGCUAAUCCAUUGUGCUCUGCACGUGUGGGUUCGAAUCCCACCCUCGUCG
rnacentral:tRNA from 1 species